AACGAACGCUGGCGGCAUGCCUAACACAUGCAAGUCGAACGAGACCUUCGGGUCUAGUGGCGCACGGGUGCGUAACGCGUGGGAACCUGCCCUUAGGUUCGGAAUAACUCCCCGAAAGGGGUGCUAAUACCGGAUAAUGUCUUCGGACCAAAGAUUUAUCGCCUUUGGAUGGGCCCGCGUUGGAUUAGCUAGUUGGUAGGGUAAAAGCCUACCAAGGCGACGAUCUAUAGCUGGUCUGAGAGGAUGAUCAGCCACACUGGGACUGAGACACGGCCCAGACUCCUACGGGAGGCAGCAGUGGGGAAUAUUGGACAAUGGGCGAAAGCCUGAUCCAGCAAUGCCGCGUGAGUGAUGAAGGCCUUAGGGUUGUAAAGCUCUUUUACCCGGGAUGAUAAUGACAGUACCGGGAGAAUAAGCCCCGGCUAACUCCGUG
rnacentral:rRNA from 1 species